UACGAAGGGGGCUAGCGUUGUUCGGAAUUACUGGGCGUAAAGCGCGUGUAGGCGGGUCUUUAAGUCAGGGGGGAAAUGCCAAGGCUCAACCUUGGAACUGCCUUUGAUACUGGAGACCUUGAGUCCGGGAGAGGUGAGUGGAACUGCGAGUGUAGAGGUGAAAUUCGUAGAUAUUCGCAAGAACACCAGUGGCGAAAGCGGCUCACUGGCCCGAUACUGACGCUGAGGCACGAAAGCGUGGGGAGCAAACAGG
rnacentral:rRNA from 1 species